AAGGAUUUAAGUUAAAGCAAACUAACAACCUUCAAAGUUGUAAAUAGAGGAACAUCUAAGCCUUA
rnacentral:tRNA from 1 species